rnacentral:rRNA from 1 species
UCAAGAUGAGAUUUCCCAUAGCAUAAGCUAGUAAGACCCCUUGAAGACUACAAGGUUGAUAGGUCAGAGGUGUAAGUAUGGCAACAUAUUUAGCUGACUGAUACUAAUAGGUCGAGGGCUUGACCAAUAUA